AUACGGAGGGUGCAAGCGUUAUCCGGAUUUACUGGGUUUAAAGGGUGCGUAGGCGGGCUAUUAAGUCAGUGGUGAAAGCUCUCGGCCCAACCGAGAAACUGCCAUUGAUACUGGUAGCCUUGAGUAUAGUUGAGGUGGGCGGAAUACAUCAUGUAGCGGUGAAAUGCUUAGAUAUGAUGUAGAACACCAAUUGCGAAGGCAGCUUACUAAACUAUUACUGACGCUGAGGCACGAAAGCGUGGGGAGCGAACAGGAUUAGAAACCCGGGUAGUCC
rnacentral:rRNA from 1 species